rnacentral:rRNA from 1 species
GACGAACGCUGGCGGCGUGCUUAACACAUGCAAGUCGAACGGAAAGGCCCUGCUUGCAGGGUACUCGAGUGGCGAACGGGUGAGUAACACGUGGGUGAUCUGCCCUGCACUUCGGGAUAAGCCUGGGAAACUGGGUCUAAUACCGGAUAGGAGCCAUUUUUAGUGUGAUGGUUGGAAAGUUUUUUCGGUGUAGGAUGAGCUCGCGGCCUAUCAGCUUGUUGGUGGGGUAAUGGCCUACCAAGGCGGCGACGGGUAGCCGGCCUGAGAGGGUGGACGGCCACAUUGGGACUGAGAGAAGGCCCAGACUCCUACGGGAGGGAGAAGUGGGGAAGAUUGAACAAUGGGCGCAAGCCGGAUGCAGCGACGCCGCGUGGGGGAUGACGGCCUUCGGGUUGUAAACUCCUUUCGCUAGGGACGAAGCUUUUUGUGACGGUACCUAGAUAAGAAGCACCGGCUAACUACGUG